rnacentral:rRNA from 1 species
GUAGGUGGCAAGCGUUGUCCGGAAUUAUUGGGCGUAAAGCGCGCGCAGGCGGUCUUUUAAGUCUGAUGUGAAAGCCCACGGCUCAACCGUGGAGGGUCAUUGGAAACUGGAGAACUUGAGUACAGAAGAGGAAAGCGGAAUUCCACGUGUAGCGGUGAAAUGCGUAGAGAUGUGGAGGAACACCAGUGGCGAAGGCGGCUUUCUGGUCUGUAACUGACGCUGAGGCGCGAAAGCGUGGGGAGCAAACAGGGAUUAGAUACCCUGGUAGUCCACGCCGUAAACGAUGAGUGCUAAGUGUUAGGGGGUUUCCGCCCCCUUAGUGCUGCAGCUAACGCAUUAAGCACUCCGCCUGGGGAUACGGCCGCAAGGCUG